rnacentral:rRNA from 1 species
AUUGAACGCUGGCGGCAGGCCUAACACAUGCAAGUCGAACGGUAACAGGAAGCAGCUUGCUGCUUUGCUGACGAGUGGCGGACGGGUGAGUAAUGUCUGGGAAACUGCCUGAUGGAGGGGGAUAACUACUGGAAACGGUAGCUAAUACCGCAUAACGUCGCAAGACCAAAGAGGGGACCUUGGGCCUCUUGCCAUCGGAUGUGCCCAGAUGGGAUUAGCUAGUAGGUGGGGUAACGGCUCACCUAGGCGACGAUCCCUAGCUGGUCUGAGAGGAUGACCAGCCACACUGGAACUGAGACACGGUCCAGACUCCUACGGGAGGCAGCAGUGGGGAAUAUUGCAC